rnacentral:rRNA from 1 species
AUUGAACGCUGGCGGCAGGCUUAACACAUGCAAGUCGAGCGGAGAUGAGGUGCUUGCACCUUAUCUUAGCGGCGGACGGGUGAGUAAUGCUUAGGAAUCUGCCUAUUAGUGGGGGACAACAUUCCGAAAGGAAUGCUAAUACCGCAUACGUCCUACGGGAGAAAGCAGGGGAUCUUCGGACCUUGCGCUAAUAGAUGAGCCUAAGUCGGAUUAGCUAGUUGGUGGGGUAAAGGCCUACCAAGGCGACGAUCUGUAGCGGGUCUGAGAGGAUGAUCCGCCACACUGGGAAUGAGACACGGCCCAGACUCCUACGGGAGGCAGCAGUGGGGAAUAUUGGACAAUGGGGGAAACCCUGAUCCAGCCAUGCCGCGUGUGUGAAGAAGGCCUUAUGGUUGUAAAGCACUUUAAGCGAGGAGGAGGCUACUGAGACUAAUACUCUUGGAUAGUGGACGUUACUCGCAGAAUAAGCACCGGCUAACUCUGUGCCAGCCGCCGCCGUAAUAC